AUUUCCACCAGGUAGGUAGCCAAAAGCUUCGCUGCCCUACCCUACGCCGCUUUGCUCCGGCGAGUCGGCGACCCCCUCCUCUCCUUCGAUCCCCGCCGCGAGCGGCGAGCUGGCCACGGGCUCUAAUCGAGCCCGGCCUCCGCCCCGUGCUUCCUCGGCCUCCGGCUGCCGCCGCCGCAGCCGCAGCCGCCCCGGGCAUCCCCAUCGGCGUCUUCUGACCCAGGCGCGUCGCGCGACAUCUCGUCGGGCGAAUCCCAGCCCGCCGACGCCGCGGCUCGGCGCCCCGAGGGAUUUUAAUCCUGGUACGACGGGAUCCUAGCGGAAAUGAGGGGCUACGAGUAUCACACCAAUGGUUACCAUCAGACAGUGGAGGAUGAGUAUGAAGAUGAGUACUAUGAUCAAGAUGAGUAUGAGGAGGAAAGUUCAGGUGCUGGGGAGGAGUGCGUUGAGGAGGAACAACCUACAGAGGGACAGAAGGAGAUCCUUGAAUUGAGAGAACGAUUAAAGGAGCAGAUUAGGAGAAAGGCCAAGGCUGCUGGUGCCAGCACAGCUGGCCACUCAUCUUCCUUACAUGAUAGGAUACCUCCAACCAGGAACAAAUUUGGCUCCUUCUUUGGACCAUCCAAGUCAGUGAUUUCUCAACGAGUGAUUGAAGAAAGAAGAUCAAUGAAAGAAUUACAUAGCACAGUCUUGAGAGAUCCAAGGCCUUCUGGCAGGGACAACAUUUCAUCAUCCUCUAAAGUGCAAAGUAAAGGAAACGGAGUUCAGCAAAAACUAAGGAUUUUUAAUGAGGCAAAGAAGAAGGCUGAGGCACUCAAGGAUAAUCGGGAUUAUUCAUUUCUACUCUCAGAUGAUGCUGACCUUCCAUCCUCUCCAAAGGCCGAUCGCGGGGUGAUGCAUUCAGCAUUAAAGAGCAAGGCACCAACGAGUCAACUUGCACGAUUGUCAAAUGGAUAUGGAUCUAAGAACACAUUAUCAACUCAAAAGCAUGCUGAAAGUAAGGUAGAUUCCAUGAGAAAGGAGACUUUCUCAAACAGAGAAAGGGCUGUUUCACUUGACAAUGAGAGGAAGAAUAGUAUUGUUAGAAAUGGAUCCAAGCAGGCCAAUGCAAGCAAAACUACAAGCCAAAAGCUUCCAAGCAAGGGCCCUAUUGCUAAUAAGCAUCCUUCAAAGGAUGUGAAUGAUUCAUCUCUGAGAAAGAGCAGUGUAGCCUCAAGGCACCAUUUUUCAGAUAUUGAGAGACCACAAUCCUCGCAAAGUCAGAGGAUACAGUCAGCUGGUCAAAGACCACAACAUUCUUCCCAUGGUCAGAGGCCACAUCAAUCAGUGCACCAGAAGCCGCAGCAGUCAUUGCAAAGUCGGAAGCCACAGCAGGUGUCACAGAGUCAGAGGCCGCAACAAUCGUUGCAGAGUCAAAGGACGCAACAGUCGUUGCAGAGUCAAAAAUCGCAAUCCUCACAGAUCCACAGACCACAAUCGCAAAGUUACAGGUCUCAGCCGUUGCAAGGGCAAAGGCCUCUUUCUUCGCAAGGUCAAUAUUCUGAUCAAAGAAGAGUUCAUGCAAAUGAUAGAGUAAAACAAGCAGAAAGGCAGAUUCGCCCUCCCUCGAAACCCAUGCCAUCUCGCCCAAUCUCUUCCAAUGGAAUUCGUGAUGAUCAUGCAAAGAGAAAGCAAGUGGUGAAAAGAAGAUUUGAUGAAGAUGAAGAUGAGGAAAACCCCUUUGCAAUGAUCAGAAGUAUGUUCAGGUAUGAUCCUAGUAAAUAUUCAGGCAGAGAUGACGAUGACAGUGACAUGGAAGCAGAUUUUGCUACUAUAGAGAGGGAAGAGAAAAGAAGCGCGAGGAUUGCAAGACAGGAGGAUGAGGAGGAACUCCGCCUUAUUGAGGAAGAAGAGAGACGUGAGCAGGAGAGGAAGAGGCGAAAGCUCGCACGGGGCCGAUAGCAGCUGAGUAGCUCCAGUUAUGUCAUCUCGGGAUGUUAUCACUGCAGAGGCCUGAACACAAGCCAUGGUCGAACAGAGACUGGCAGUCUGGGGGCAACUCGGAUAAACUUGUGCGUUGCGGACGACAGCAACCGUUGCCGUGUAGAUUCUCAGGGGACAAAUCAAGAAAAACGGCAGAUAUAAUUUUGUCCAUCUGGAGAGGAGGCUGAGGUCGGGAGCCAGUCAGAUGUUUCGAGAUGUUUCCAUUGAGGAAAAGGGGUGAAACUUGGGGCGGACGGGAAGUAUGUAUGCGACUACGGGACUAAUACAGCUCGAAUACGGACACUAUUUCUUUUUUAUAGCUGGAUGUUACUACCCUGCACACAACAUUGAUCAACGGAGGAAGCUCGAAACCGAUUCGUCUUAGUGUUCGAGUUUGUCUCCAGCCAGGUUGGCUGACAAAAAAAAUCUGCAGCAUAUAAAGUUCAUGGUUUCGUGGCCUAAUAAGGACUCCGAUACAUCUGUCGUGCCGUCGUCUAUCUUCCCUAC